CAUAAAUUGAAAUAUGUUACGACCUAAAAUCAAAAAAGGAGAAACAAAAAUCACAAAAAACAAGUUAAAAUGGUGGGGGGAAAUGCUCAAUAAGAGAGAGAGAAAAAGAUGAACAACUCCAGAAAACGAUUAAAAAUCCUCUAAAAGAGAAAAGACGUGAAGAUUCGUAUAGGUACUGGUUGACACACUCGGAAACACCUAAAAUAAAGGUUCUGAUACAAAGAAAAAAUAACGAAGGCCCUUCUACCAAUGCCGGUUUUGGAGUUUCCUUAAACUUCUAUGAAGGUGCACCGAAGGAAGAUGAAUUGAAGAAUAAGAUGAUUGUAACACACGAGAUUGAAUUGAACCUAAAAUUAGUUUUUAAAUUGAAAAAAUCGAUGAAAUCUGGAAAAAUGUGAUAUAUAAAAACCCUGUAAUCCAAACACAAGAAGAAUCUGGUAAA